rnacentral:misc_RNA from 1 species
AAAGAAUUAAGUAAAAUCAUCCAGGAAGCUCAGUACAAAAAUGACCAGAAUCGUGCGCUUAUAAAUUCUGUCAAACAUUUGGUUCAAUUUGGUAUUUAAUAGCCAAUUUGAGCAAAAUCAACAGCCCUUUAACAGUAAACAGCCGCGGGGUUGAAGACUGUCGUUUAACACUAGCAAACAUCGUUCAUCUCCUUUCCAAAAGCAGCAAGGGUUCUCUACGCAACAGAUUGAACAGCUCUAUCAAAGUUUUCUUCAGCAGCUGAGAUGCGUUUAACAAGCAAGUGGUCGGGAUGCGAAAGUUUCAAUUGGCUGAGAAAACGAGAAGUUGGUUUGCCAAGGUGAAGAUUGCAUACAACUAGAUUGGCAAGAGUUUCAGGAUCUUUUGCAUCCUUGUUCAGUGCUUCAAGAAGAAGUGUCUCGGCUUCAUCAAAGUUUCCCAUAUGCAUGCAGCAGACGGCCCUUCCAUUCAAGAUCAAGCUUGUCAUGGGAUAUUUUUCAGAGAAAUCUUGGAAGAUGAGA